rnacentral:rRNA from 1 species
AUACGGAGGUGGUUAGCGUUGUUCGGAAUUACUGGGCGUAAAGCGCACGUAGGCGGACUGGAAAGUUGGGGGUGAAAUCCCGGGGCUCAACCCCGGAACUGCCUCCAAAACUUCCAAUCUAGAGAUCGAGAGAGGUGAGUGGAAUUCCAAGUGUAGAGGUGAAAUUCGUAGAUAUUUGGAGGAACACCAGUGGCGAAGGCGGCUCACUGGCUAGAUACUGACGCUGAGGUGCGAAAGCGUGGGGAGCAAACAGGAUUAGAAACCCUAGUAGUCC